CCUGGUUGAUCCUACAAGUAGUCAUAUGCUUGUCUCAAAGAUUAAGCCAUGCAUGUGUAAGUAUGAACUAAUUUAGAUUGUGAAACUGCAAAUGACUCAUUAAAUCAGUCAUAGUUUGUUGGAAUGUACCUACUACUCGGAUUACCGUUGUAAUCCUAGAGUUAAUACAUACAACAAACACCGACUUUUUGAAGGGAUGCAUUUAUUAGAUAAAAGGUCAAUGCGGGAUUUUUCCAUUAAUCUGAUGAUUCAUGAUAACUCGAUAGAUCGCACGGCCCUCGUGCAAGCGACACAUCAUUCAAAUUUCUACCCUAUCAAUUUUCGAUGGUAGGAUAGUGGCCAACUAUGGUGGUGAUGGGUGAUGAAAAAUUAUGUUUGAUUCCAGAGAGGGAGCCCGAGAAACGAUUACCACAUCCAAGGAAGGCAGCAGGUGUGCAAAUUACCAACAUGAGGUGGUAGUGACAAUUAGUAACAAUAUUAAGCUCUAUGAAACUGGUAAUUGGAAUGAGUACAAUCUAAAUCCCUUAACGAAGAUUUAUUGGAGGGAAAGUUCGGUGCCAACAGCUGUGGUAAUUCCAACUCCGAUAGCAUAUAUUUAAGUUGUUGAAGUUAACAUUUGCGUAGUUGGACUUUGGAUUGGGCAGGUGGGUCUGCCCUUGGGUGUGUAUCAGUCAUCCUGUCCCUUAUACUGACAAAGUGCUCCUGGUAUUAAUUGACCGGGUCGUGCAUUCGGUGUGUUACUUUAAAGAAAUUAGAAUGCUCAAAGCAAGCCCAAAAUCUGGAUACAUUAGCAUGGGAUAGCAUCAUAGGAUUAUGGUCCUAUUGUGUUUGUCUUCGGGUUCGGAGUAAUGAUUAACAGAGACAGUCGGGGGCAUUCAUAUUUAUUAGUCAGAAGUGAAAUUCUUGGAGUUUUAAGAGACGAACUACUACAAAAGCAUUUGCUAAGGAUGUUUUCAUUAAUCAAGAAUGAAAAUUGGGGGCUUGAAGAUGAUCAGAUACCGUCCUAGUCUCAACCAUAAAUGAUGCUAACCACGGAUCGGCAGAUGUUGCUUAAAGGACUCCGCCGACACCUUUUGAGAAAUCAAAGUUUUUGGGUUUCGGGGGGAGUAUUGUCGCAAGGCUGAAAUUUAAAAUAAUUAAAGGAAGGGCACCAUCAAGAGUGGAGCAUGCGGCUUAAUUUGACUCAAUACGGGGAAACUUACCAGGUCUAGACAUAGUGAGGAUUGAUAGGCUGAGAGCUAUGGUGGUGCAUGGUCGUUUUUAGUUGGUGGAGCGAUUUGUCGGGUUAAUUUCAUUAAUGAACGAGACCUCAACCUGCCAACUAGAUAUGUCAAGGUGACUCUCCACGACCAGCUUCUUAGAGGGAUUAUGGUUGUCUAGGCCAAGGAAGUUUGAGGCAAUAACAGGUCUAUGAUGCCAUUAGAUGUUUUGGCCCGCAAAUGCACUACACUGAUGUAUUCAACGAGUCUAUAGCCUUGGCAGACAUGCCCGGGUAAUCUUUAAAACUUUCAUCAUGAUACGGAUAGAUCAUUGCAAUUUUUUGUCUUCAAUGAUGAAUUCCUAGUAAGCGCGAGUCAUCAGCUCACGUUGACUAUGUCCCUUCCCUUUGUAUACACUGCCUAUCGCUCCUACCAAUUGAAUGGUCCGGUAAAGUCACACGAAGUCCA
rnacentral:rRNA from 1 species